GAUGAACGCUAGCUCCAGGCUUAACACAUGCAAGUCGAGGGACCGGCGCACGGGUGAGUAACACGUAUCCAACCUGCCCUUUACUCGGGGAUAGCCUUUCGCAAGAAAGAUUAAUACCCGAUAUAAAGGAUGGGGAUGCGUUCCAUUAGGUUGUUGUUGAGGUAACGGCCAACCAAGCCUUCGAUGGAUAGGGGUUCUGAGAGGAAGGUCCGCCACAUUGGAACUGAGCCACGGGUCAAACUCCUACGGGAGGCAGCAGUGAGGAACAUUGGUCAAUGGGCGUUAGCCUGACCCAGCCACGUAGCGUGAAGGAUGAAGGCUUAUGGGUCGUAAACUUCUUUUAUAUAAGAAUAUGUAUUAUAUGAAUAAGGAUCGGCUAACUCCGUGCCAGCAGCCGCGGUAAUAC
rnacentral:rRNA from 1 species